rnacentral:lncRNA from 1 species
UUAAAUGCUUAUGCUUUCUAUUAAAUAUAUUGUUUCAUUCUUUAUUAAUUUCGCGUCAAAAAUACUGGGUGCCAUUUGUAAUCAACACAUUGUUUAAUAUUAUUAAGUUGAAAAGUUGAACAAGCAAUUACACUAGUAAAUUAAGGUGAUAUCUAACUAAUAAAUUGCCAAAGAUUUGAUCGACCAACCAUCGCUGUAACAUUACCAUAUUGUCUCCAGUUUUAAUGGAAGGAACAUUUGUUAGGAUUUCCAUAUAUUGUGGCCCAAUUAAUUAUAUUCAAAUCUGGAUUUCUAUAGAUAAAGGUCAAUCCUAACAGACAUAGAACUACUUGAUAUGGUAUAUUUUAUCCCUAUCCCAUCUAUUUUAAAUUUGAAUAGAAUCCUAAUCAGACUUUGAUGGGAAGUCGAUCUGGACUCUAUAUAAAGGGGUAUUGGUCCUGCCACCUUCUCAUACGCAUUCUGGUGAAGAAUUACCAUCGGUUCCACACCAUACGGCAGAAUGCCUGAGAUAGGGGGAGAAACCAAAUCACCCAAGUUCGGUUCGUGACUUUCAGAUCGUAGCCGGACUUUCAGCUUCCGCAAGAUUAAUCAAGAAUCACUUCUCUAUGGCGCUCUGUGAGUUAUCUUAUAUUCUUGUUUUGAUCCUGGAUUUUUGGUAUGUAUUUAUUUUCUAUUUAUUUUACAUACCGUGAUUUUCCAUCAACAUUCACUCAAAAAUAAUAUUGUCUCUUUUAAUUAAUUACCACAAUGCUUGAAUCUUGCUUGUCUACCACGUAGUGUACAAGAUGCAUCUUACUAUGAUUUGUGUCCGCAAUUUCUUCAACAGUAGUAGUCUCUUUUGUACUACUUUAAACUUAUCUUCAUUCGAUUAAACAUAAUUAUCAUUAACAACAUGUUCAGUUGAAUUACAUUAAUUAGAAGAAUAAAAUCAAGGAAAAUCAACGUGAUCUCAAUGCAUGAAUACAAGUAAUCUUAUCCCUUGAGCUUGCACAUGAAUAGCACAUGCCAAAGUCGUUGAUAUUUAAUUUGCAGGUAAAUUGCACCACUGUCCCUCAAAUUAUUGGAUGGGUCGUACAUACGUGCUUUAUCUUCGUGUCAU